GACGAACGCUGGCGGCGUGCCUAAUACAUGCAAGUAGAACGCUGAAGGAGGAGCUUGCUUCUCUGGAUGAGUUGCGAACGGGUGAGUAACGCGUAGGUAACCUGCCUGGUAGCGGGGGAUAACUAUUGGAAACGAUAGCUAAUACCGCAUAAUAGUAGAUGUUGCAUGACAUUUGCUUAAAAGGUGCAAUUGCAUCACUACCAGAUGGACCUGCGUUGUAUUAGCUAGUUGGUGAGGUAACGGCUCACCAAGGCGACGAUACAUAGCCGACCUGAGAGGGUGAUCGGCCACACUGGGACUGAGACACGGCCCAGACUCCUACGGGAGGCAGCAGUAGGGAAUCUUCGGCAAUGGACGGAAGUCUGACCGAGCAACGCCGCGUGAGUGAAGAAGGUUUUCGGAUCGUAAAGCUCUGUUGUAAGAGAAGAACGAGUGUGAGAGUGGAAAAUUCACACUGUGACGGUAUCUUACCAGAAAGGGACGGCUAACUACGUG
rnacentral:rRNA from 1 species